AGGGGCAUCAGGAAGAAAGCUUGCUUUCUUUGCUGGCGACCGGCGCACGGGUGAGUAACACGUAUCCAACCUACCCUUUACUCGGGGAUAGCCUUUCGAAAGAAAGAUUAAUACCCGAUGGGAUGAUUAUUCCGCAUGGUUUGAUUAUUAAAGGAUUCCGGUAAAGGAUGGGGAUGCGUUCCAUUAGGUUGUUGGCGGGGUAACGGCCCACCAAGCCUUCGAUGGAUAGGGGUUCUGAGAGGAAGGUCCCCCACAUUGGAACUGAGACACGGUCCAAACUCCUACGGGAGGCAGCAGUGAGGAAUAUUGGUCAAUGGACGAGAGUCUGAACCAGCCAAGUAGCGUGAAGGAUGACUGCCCUAUGGGUUGUAAACUUCUUUUAUACGGGAAUAAAGUGAGGCACGUGUGCCUUUUUGUAUGUACCGUAUGAAUAAGGAUCGGCUAACUCCGUGCCAGCAGCCGCGGUAAUACGGAGGAUCCGAGCGUUAUCCGGAUUUAUUGGGUUUAAAGGGAGCGUAGGCGGACGCUUAAGUCAGUUGUGAAAGUUUGCGGCUCAACCGUAAAAUUGCAGUUGAUACUGGGUGUCUUGAGUACAGUAGAGGCAGGCGGAAUUCGUGGUGUAGCGGUGAAAUGCUUAGAUAUCACGAAGAACUCCGAUUGCGAAGGCAGCUUGCUGGACUGUAACUGACGCUGAUGCUCGAAAGUGUGGGUAUCAAACAGGA
rnacentral:rRNA from 1 species